AUAAACUCAGGAAAAGACCUCACUGAAGUCUGACUUCAGCACUACGAGUUCUCAGGGGAGGAAAUUGAGGCACAAUGAAGUAAGUGACUCAACAUCACAGAACUAACAGAAUUCUUCAGCUGCCUAGAAAAGGAACAAGAAGAAACAGAUGGUUGGCUUAACCAGGUCUGGAGGUUGACACGACAGUUGUGAACCAAGAUGAGUGAAAUAAGUCAUUAGGUUGCAGGUCUGGCGAGCACAGUGGGAAGAACUGUCCCUGAGAUUCCUCAGGGUCUGCAGUCUCAGUGUUCCCGGUGAAUCUGAGGUUCUUGAUGUCUCGUCGCAGUCAGAAUUCAGUGAGAGACAAAGUGAUAGGGAAGAAGUGGAUUUAUUUAGAGAGAAACACACUCCACAGACAGAGUAUGGGCCAUCUCAGAAGGUAAGAGGCCCCGAAAUAUGGCGUGGUUAGUUUUUAUGGGCUGGGUAAUUUCAUAGGCUAAUUAGUGGGAGGAUUAUUCCAAUUAUUUCAGGGAAGGGGUGGAGAUUUCCAGGAAUUGGGCCACCACCCACUUUUUGGCCUUUUAUGGUUAGCCUUAGAACUGUCAUGGCAUUGGUGGGACUGUCAUUUAGCAUGCUAAUGUAUUACAAUGAGAGUAUGAUAAGGCUCAAGGUCCAUUAUUAGUCGAAUAUUCUGCCAUCUUGGACCAGGUUGGUUUUAACCAGUUUUUGUCAUGUCCUAUGCCUAUGUCAUUUUUUUCAAGGUUGUGCCCUGCCCACUUCCUUCCUGUUUCAAUAGCAAAAGUAAUUCAUGGUCAUAUUAGCUCAUAGAUUUGUAAAAGCAGCUAAAUUUUAGAAGAGAAAACAUUUUAAUUGUCUAAUGCUCAUUGACAGCAUCUAAAUGUCACUGACAUUUAGCUCAAACCAAAAACAUAUUUUGAAAUAAUAAGCAAUUAAAUGAACACUUUUAUCAGAAACAAGGAUUUCAGAAUAGUUUGCUCACUUGUAUGUUGUAAAUUGUAAAAGGAAAAGGGUUACACCCACACCAUAUGUGAACUAUAGGACUAUAAAGUGAUAUAAUGUCAUCUGCAAUACAUCUGCUUCAUUUAAAUACAAAUUCUAACAUUUAUAGUUUCAGUAGUUGGUCUCGUGGCCUUAUACAUAACAUGAAAAAAAUAAUAUUUGAGGAAGUUUUUGAAUUUGUAGGUGGCUGAUGUAGUUAUAAG